rnacentral:rRNA from 1 species
UUUCGCAAUGCCCGAAAGGGUGACGAAGCGACGCCGCGUGUGGGAAGAAGGCCUUCGGGUUGUAAACCACUGUCGGGAGUUAGGAAGUGCAGGUGCGUUAAUAGCGCACUUGCUUGACUAAGGCUCCAGAGGAAGCCACGGCUAACUCUGUGCCAGCAGCCGCGGUAAUACAGAGGCGGCAAGCGUUGUUCGGAAUUAUUGGGCGUAAAGAGCACGUAGGCGGCCUUGCAAGUCAGUUGUGAAAGCCUUCCGCUUAACGGAAGAACGGCAUCUGAUACUACAGGGCUUGAGUACGGGAGGGGAGAGUGGAACUUCUGGUGGAGCGGUGAAAUGCGUAGAUAUCAGAAGGAACGCCGGCGGCGAAAGCGACUCUCUGGUCCGAAACUGACGCUGAGUGUGCGAAAGCUAGGGGAUCAAACGGGAUUAGAUACCCCGGUAGUCCUAGCCGUAAACGAUGGGCACUAAGUAGAGGGGUUUU